AAUUUGGACCUGAUAUCAAACAAGACUACCCGCUGAACUUAAGCAUAUCAAUAA
rnacentral:rRNA from 1 species